CCUCUUGGUGGUGUAUUGAAGGCCAGAGA
rnacentral:piRNA from 2 species